rnacentral:rRNA from 1 species
UGGGGAAUCUUGCACAAUGGGGGCAACCCUGAUGCAGCGACGCCGCGUGAGCGAUGAAGCCCUUCGGGGCGUAAAGCUCUUUCGACCGGAACGAUAAUGACGGUACCGGGAGAAGAAGCUGCGGCUAACUACGUGCCAGCAGCCGCGGUAAUACGUAGGCAGCAAGCGUUGUUCGGAGUUACUGGGCGUAAAGAGUGCGUAGGCGGUUUUCUAAGUUCGGUGUGAAAUCUCCCGGCUUAACUGGGAGGGUGCGCCGAAGACUGGGAAGCUGAGGUGUGGGAAAGGCAGGCGGAAUUCCUGUUGUAGCGGUGAAAUGCGUAGAUAUCAGGAGGAGCACCGGCGAUGUAGACGGCUUGCUAGACCAUAACUGACGCUGAGGCACGAAAGC